GGUGCACAUUGUUAGAGCUUGGAGUUGAGGCUGUUGGCUGGCCAAUGAAUUCACAGACGUAGGUCAUGUACUGUAUGAGUGGCAAGAGUGACUGGCCCAGAGAGUGGAGUUUGAUAGUAAUCCUUGCUCCAACU
ensembl:snoRNA SNORA62 Small nucleolar RNA SNORA62/SNORA6 family